GGUUAAGCGACUAAGCGUACACGGUGGAUGCCCUGGCAGUCAGAGGCGAUGAAGGACGUGCUAAUCUGCGAUAAGCGUCGGUAAGGUGAUAUGAACCGUUAUAACCGGCGAUUUCCGAAUGGGGAAACCCAGUGUGUUUCGACACACUAUCAUUAACUGAAUCCAUAGGUUAAUGAGGCGAACCGGGGGAACUGAAACAUCUAAGUACCCCGAGGAAAAGAAAUCAACCGAGAUUCCCCCAGUAGCGGCGAGCGAACGGGGAGCAGCCCAGAGCCUGAAUCAGUAUGUGUGUUAGUGGAAGCGUCUGGAAAGGCGCGCGAUACAGGGUGACAGCCCCGUACACAAAAAUGCACAUGCUGUGAGCUCGAUGAGUAGGGCGGGACACGUGGUAUCCUGUCUGAAUAUGGGGGGACCAUCCUCCAAGGCUAAAUACUCCUGACUGACCGAUAGUGAACCAGUACCGUGAGGGAAAGGCGAAAAGAACCCCGGCGAGGGGAGUGAAAAAGAACCUGAAACCGUGUACGUACAAGCAGUGGGAGCACGCUUAGGCGUGUGACUGCGUACCUUUUGUAUAAUGGGUCAGCGACUUAUAUUCUGUAGCAAGGUUAACCGAAUAGGGGAGCCGAAGGGAAACCGAGUCUUAACUGGGCGUUAAGUUGCAGGGUAUAGACCCGAAACCCGGUGAUCUAGCCAUGGGCAGGUUGAAGGUUGGGUAACACUAACUGGAGGACCGAACCGACUAAUGUUGAAAAAUUAGCGGAUGACUUGUGGCUGGGGGUGAAAGGCCAAUCAAACCGGGAGAUAGCUGGUUCUCCCCGAAAGCUAUUUAGGUAGCGCCUCGUGAAUUCAUCUCCGGGGGUAGAGCACUGUUUCGGCAAGGGGGUCAUCCCGACUUACCAACCCGAUGCAAACUGCGAAUACCGGAGAAUGUUAUCACGGGAGACACACGGCGGGUGCUAACGUCCGUCGUGAAGAGGGAAACAACCCAGACCGCCAGCUAAGGUCCCAAAGUCAUGGUUAAGUGGGAAACGAUGUGGGAAGGCCCAGACAGCCAGGAUGUUGGCUUAGAAGCAGCCAUCAUUUAAAGAAAGCGUAAUAGCUCACUGGUCGAGUCGGCCUGCGCGGAAGAUGUAACGGGGCUAAACCAUGCACCGAAGCUGCGGCAGCGACACUAUGUGUUGUUGGGUAGGGGAGCGUUCUGUAAGCCUGUGAAGGUGUACUGUGAGGUAUGCUGGAGGUAUCAGAAGUGCGAAUGCUGACAUAAGUAACGAUAAAGCGGGUGAAAAGCCCGCUCGCCGGAAGACCAAGGGUUCCUGUCCAACGUUAAUCGGGGCAGGGUGAGUCGACCCCUAAGGCGAGGCCGAAAGGCGUAGUCGAUGGGAAACAGGUUAAUAUUCCUGUACUUGGUGUUACUGCGAAGGGGGGACGGAGAAGGCUAUGUUGGCCGGGCGACGGUUGUCCCGGUUUAAGCGUGUAGGCUGGUUUUCCAGGCAAAUCCGGAAAAUCAAGGCUGAGGCGUGAUGACGAGGCACUACGGUGCUGAAGCAACAAAUGCCCUGCUUCCAGGAAAAGCCUCUAAGCAUCAGGUAACAUCAAAUCGUACCCCAAACCGACACAGGUGGUCAGGUAGAGAAUACCAAGGCGCUUGAGAGAACUCGGGUGAAGGAACUAGGCAAAAUGGUGCCGUAACUUCGGGAGAAGGCACGCUGAUAUGUAGGUGAAGUCCCUCGCGGAUGGAGCUGAAAUCAGUCGAAGAUACCAGCUGGCUGCAACUGUUUAUUAAAAACACAGCACUGUGCAAACACGAAAGUGGACGUAUACGGUGUGACGCCUGCCCGGUGCCGGAAGGUUAAUUGAUGGGGUUAGCGCAAGCGAAGCUCUUGAUCGAAGCCCCGGUAAACGGCGGCCGUAACUAUAACGGUCCUAAGGUAGCGAAAUUCCUUGUCGGGUAAGUUCCGACCUGCACGAAUGGCGUAAUGAUGGCCAGGCUGUCUCCACCCGAGACUCAGUGAAAUUGAACUCGCUGUGAAGAUGCAGUGUACCCGCGGCAAGACGGAAAGACCCCGUGAACCUUUACUAUAGCUUGACACUGAACAUUGAGCCUUGAUGUGUAGGAUAGGUGGGAGGCUUUGAAGUGUGGACGCCAGUCUGCAUGGAGCCGACCUUGAAAUACCACCCUUUAAUGUUUGAUGUUCUAACGUUGACCCGUGAUCCGGGUUGCGGACAGUGUCUGGUGGGUAGUUUGACUGGGGCGGUCUCCUCCUAAAGAGUAACGGAGGAGCACGAAGGUUGGCUAAUCCUGGUCGGACAUCAGGAGGUUAGUGCAAUGGCAUAAGCCAGCUUGACUGCGAGCGUGACGGCGCGAGCAGGUGCGAAAGCAGGUCAUAGUGAUCCGGUGGUUCUGAAUGGAAGGGCCAUCGCUCAACGGAUAAAAGGUACUCCGGGGAUAACAGGCUGAUACCGCCCAAGAGUUCAUAUCGACGGCGGUGUUUGGCACCUCGAUGUCGGCUCAUCACAUCCUGGGGCUGAAGUAGGUCCCAAGGGUAUGGCUGUUCGCCAUUUAAAGUGGUACGCGAGCUGGGUUUAGAACGUCGUGAGACAGUUCGGUCCCUAUCUGCCGUGGGCGCUGGAGAACUGAGGGGGGCUGCUCCUAGUACGAGAGGACCGGAGUGGACGCAUCACUGGUGUUCGGGUUGUCAUGCCAAUGGCACUGCCCGGUAGCUAAAUGCGGAAGAGAUAAGUGCUGAAAGCAUCUAAGCACGAAACUUGCCCCGAGAUGAGUUCUCCCUGACUCCUUGAGAGUCCUGAAGGAACGUUGAAGACGACGACGUUGAUAGGCCGGGUGUGUAAGCGCAGCGAUGCGUUGAGCUAACCGGUACUAAUGAACCGUGAGGCUUAACCUU
rnacentral:rRNA from 1 species